GACAUAGGUGGCGAACGUUAUCCGGAAUUAUUGGGCGUAAAGGGCGCGUAGGCGGUGCGGUAAGUCACCUGUGAAAUCUCCUGGCUCAACUGGGAGCUUGCAGGCGAAACUGCCGUGCUGGAGUGUGGGAGAGGUGCGUGGAAUUCCUGGUGUAGCGGUGAAAUGCGUAGAUAUCAGGAGGAACACCUGUGGCGAAAGCGGCGCACUGGACCACAACUGACGCUGAGGCGCGAAAGCUAGGGGAGCAAACAGG
rnacentral:rRNA from 1 species